rnacentral:rRNA from 1 species
GGCUCAGAGCGAACGCUGGCGGCAGGCUUAACACAUGCAAGUCGAACGCCAUCUUCGGAUGGAGUGGCAGACGGGUGAGUAACGCGUGGGAACGUACCCUUUGGUUCGGAAUAUUCUCGGGAAACUGGGAGCAAUACCGCAUACGCACUGAGGUGGAAAGCAGGGGAUCGCAAGACCUUGCGCUAUACGAGCGGCCGAUGUCAGAUUAGCUAGUUGGUAGGGUAAAGGCCUACCAAGGCGACGAUCUGUAGCGGGUCUGAGAGGAUGAUCCGCCACACUAGGACUGAGACACGGCCCAGACUCCUACGGGAGGCAGCAGUGGGGAAUUUUGGACAAUGGGCGAAAGCCUGAUCCAGCCAUGCCGCGUGAGUGAAGAAGGCCUUCGGGUUGUAAAGCUCUUUCGGCUGGGAAGAAAUCGCACAGGCUAAUACUCUGUGUGGAUGACGGUACCAGCACAAGAAGCACCGGCUAACUACGUG